rnacentral:rRNA from 1 species
UAUGUGAUCGUCUCUCGCAUAUCAAUAAGCGGAGGAAAAGAAACUAACAAGGAUUCCCCUAGUAACGGCGAGUGAAGCGGGAAGAGCUCAAAUUUGAAAUCCUAAAGGGUUUCCCUUUACGAAUUGUAGUUUAAAGAAGUGUUUUCUGUUGAGGUUUUGGUAAAAGUUCUUUGGAAUAGGACAUCAUAGAGGGUGAGAAUCCCGUAUUUGACCUUUACUUUCAACUUUGUGAUACACUUUCAAAGAGUCGGAUUGUUUGGGAAUGCAGUCCAAAAUGGGUGGUAAAUUUCAUCUAAAGCUAAAUAUUGGCGAGAGACCGAUAGCGAACAAGUACCGAUGAGGGAAAGAUGAAAAGAACUUUGAAAAGAGAGUUAAACAGUACGUGAAAUUGUCAAAAGGGAAGCGUCUGACACCAGUGUUGUUUUUCUGAAAAUCAAUUAAAGAACUGUUUAUGCUAAGUUGUUUAGACUUUAUCAGCUAAUCUGUUUAGUUUUGAGCUUUUCUUUAAUGCACUUUUCAGUUAACAAGUCAACAUCAAUUUCUUUUGCUGUAAAAAAGCUUGAGGAAGGUGGCUUGAGAUUCGUCUUAAGUGUUUAUAGCCUCUUGCCUAUGCAGUCGGAGAGAUCGAGGUCUGCAGCGUAGAUCCUUCGGGGCUAAAUGCAUUUGUGCUAAGUUAUAGCAUUUUAUAGACAACUUGUUGACUAUGAUUUGUCUUGUAGCUUACUCGCUUAUAUUAUUUUACCUACGCUUAGGAUGUUGACACACGCGCGUGCUCG